rnacentral:lncRNA from 1 species
GGGAUAUGUGCAGGAAAUACAGGGUUAUAUGUGUAUGUGGUUUGCUAUUCCCUUCUUGACACUACUCAAUCUACAUGCCUGUUCUUUAUUUAUAGGCAAGCAGCGUGCUGAUAUUUCAGUAUUCCUUCGGCUCAACAGUUCAGAGUACAGUCACAGCAAGAAAAGCAACCCAUGUAACCAUGAGUAGCCUUAGAUACAUUUCACUGGAUUUCCCAAGAAUUACAUUUUAAUUUGAAAGACCACUAAACCUCCCACUGAUCUGAAAUUGAAUGUUCUAGAGCUCCUUUAAACUGCUUCUGGCAUUUAAAUGGCAUUGAAGGAAAGGAUUUCACAGCAGAUAUAAAGGAUUUCUGUAAAACUGAUCCUGAACUGAUAAAGUUACUUUGAGAUGAGCAUUUAGGAGAUUUUGUCCAUGGAAGAAACUUUGUUGGCCAAUGGGAGCAACAAGGAAGAACAAGGAAAGCACAGGACUUCUAAGGAUGGAGCAGGACACCCGCCCCGGCUGCACCUUGCAGGAUGCAGGAGCCCUGCCGCGAUGACACCCGCACCUCCACAAACUGCUGGAGUUCCCAGCUUGCUAGGUCCCUCGCAGUAAGCGGCCUUUUUGCCUUCUUAAACUUGGCUUUUAAAUAAAAGGAAGACCCCGACCGCGUUCCCCUCA